rnacentral:lncRNA from 1 species
AAUAGUAAAAAAUGGCUAAUGUUAUAGAAUAGCAAAUGCUAAAGGACAGCUAAUAUGAAAAAGAACGAUUAGCGAUAAAGAAUGGCUAAGAGUAAAGAAUGAUUAAGAAUAAUGAGUAGAAUUAACUAAUCUACUUGCAUGAGUUACAGGAAUUGCAUAAUGUUCAUAUUGCAUAUUGUGAGGCAUGUUAUCUGUUAAUUGCAUCAUAACUUGAUGAUAUAUAUAUCGGUAGAUGUUUUUUGGACUAACAUGAUUGCAGUGCCUCCUUGAACCUAUUGGUCGAGCUUUUCCCUUGGGUGGCCGUACCCACUGGGAACCAUGGAGUUGGUUCUCACCCCACGUUAUUUUGGGGUGU